CACCCUUUAAUGUGAUUUCUUAAGUCUCUGCUCCCUCACAGCCCCUGAAGCAGGUGCUGCAGUGCGGUUUAUGCUCCUGGAGUGAGGACACAGCCCUGUCUGGGGAGCGGCUUUGCGGUCUGCUUGGCUGGGCCAUUGGCGAGCCUCUGCCCUUCAGUGCUGGCAGCCACCUGAGCCCUGGUGUCCUGACGUCACCUGGAAGGACACAGCCCACAGGCUGAUGGUAAAAAGGUGGAGGGAGGUGAUUCUCAUGCAGGACUAGCAUGGUGCUUCCUGUGCCUGUGCCCAAGGGCUUGAGGAAGGAAUGUAAGUUCUCCACAGGGAAUGCAGCUCUUGAGAAGAAAUGGGUUUACUACUCCCCGUCCAUCUUCCAAAUGCAAGACUAGAAAGGGUUUGCUCUUCAGCCACUAAACAAAUUCACGCUCUUCCCAUUGCCAGAAGUAAGAGAGGAGCAAUGGACUUCUCCGGUCAAUCAACGAGCCGAACCUUGCUGCAAAGUGUUGCCUGCAUAUCCGACCUCAGGUGGGAAGGAAGCCAUCCUCCUCUGGGGCGUGAUGUAAAUGAUCAGCAACACCAUUCUUUCGGGAGGGCUGCUGGUGUGCUGAGAGCGCAGCUCUGUUUUCCACAGUACCAAGAGGUGUUUCCCAAAGUGGGGGCCGCUUUCCACGGGACACGAGAUGGUGCUGCGUUGGGCCGGACAAUGUGGGUUGAACACCUGCAUUUAUUUUAACACCUAUUAGGACAACACCAGUGCUUAGUUUUCCAGAUGCCACUGUUUAGGGUAAACCGAGUUAAGUACAAGACUCCAAUCUGGGGCCAAGCAAACUAGGGACAUGGUGGCACAGGUGGUUCGGUGGGUGUGGAAGGAGCCCGGAUGCAGAUGAAGCAUCUUCAAAGGAUGUGGCUCAGCCCUCUGCAGCUAAAAACCACCCAGCCGUGUAUGCCACAGGUAGAGGGGACUUCGGACCACGGAGCCCAGCAUGGCAAUGACAAUCUUUGCUAAGUUUUCAGUCUUUCGUGGUUGUCAUUGGUAGUAUUCUAUUAAUUGCCGAGGUUGUUCCUUUAAAGAUUUACACCAACAAUAGAAGGAAGAUCAAGAGGGAACAGCUAAGUCAUGGACUCAACAGCAAGUGUCAACCUUUCACCGCGUAAUGAAUUCUGUUUAAGGCUACCAUCAAGACGGUCCCUGUCAGCUAAGGUAGGAACUAAGAAACUAAUGAGAGCAAUCAGAUUUUUAAAUGCUUUACGUACCACUGGAAUUUAUGUCUUAAUUUAAUUGCCGAAUUCUUAAUCUGAUUAGAGCCUGUAAAGGAAUAAAAUUGGAUUUGGAAAAAAUAGAUAAAAUAAGUUUUCCUUUACAUAUUCACAAGUCAUCCCAAACUGCAUGUUUCUUAUAAGAUUAAUACAAAUGUUUUAGCUCAUUUUCAUUGCAUCCGAGCAAACACAUUAUCUCCCAGGAAACAGCAUGGAACGAUAAUAUGCAGCACAUCCAGCCAUAGAAGAAGUUCUUGAAUAUAAAGUCAUCUGGCUAAACUGCCUGGAAAUGAGCGGGGUCACAGUCACGGAGAUGAAGCUAAAUGACAUCGCGUUUCUCCCAUGGCUCCCAGGACAUGAGAUUCUCACUACCAGUGGGACCGGCUUAUGAGUCUCUGUCCACUAGAUGUUUCUCUGGCUUCUGCAGAGUGUUCCCAAAUCAUUUCAUUCACUCACCAAAUAUUUAUUCAGUGCCUACUGUGUGCCAGGCACUCACUGUUCCAGGUGCAGGGGCACCGAGGCCGAAGCGAAGAACAUUAAAGUCUCUCUGAGAUGCAGCUCCUAGUAGACAUGGCCAACUUCCCAUUGUAAACUGUGCUUCUUCAAUGUGUGAUUUUUAAAAAGAGGCUCAAAAAUGGUCUUACACAUUUAAGAGGAUGAUAUGACAAGGAAUAGGGUUAGAAAGGGGAGGUCAUAAAAUUCAGUUAGACAAGGUGAAAAGCAAGACCACAUUGGAGCACAAGAAGCAACACACAUGCAGAGACCGAGCAGAGGCCUGGAGCCACACCAGCCCCGCUCAGGGCUUCAUGUCCACUAGCUCCCUCAUCUUCCCGGCACCCGGAGAGCUGGAACCCUCCUACUACCUGCAUUCUACAGAAGCGGAGACUGAGCUCGGAGUAACUGCCUUGUCUCACACCGUCCCACACAUGGCAGCCAAGAAGAGAGCUGACCAAGGAAGUGAAGACGAAGCAGCCUGGGCCCACUGACCUGGUGGGAAGCGGGAGAGAGACAAACUGUGGCGAGCUGGAAACGCUCGGGAUCUUACUUCAGGGGCCGUUUUAAGUGGACUGCACGCAUGGUCCUUCUGUCCCCAGAGUCGAGGAUGCCACAAGCCUCUGACUCUAACACCAAGACCCGGAACCCACCACAUGAUAGAUCCAGCUGUUCCCUGAAGCAGCUAUUGAGUUUUUAGCGAUAUCUAAAAUACAAGCUCUUCUGAAGUUGGGAAAGUUAAGGCAGAGCCUUCGCAUUUUUCUCUCAUCUAGGAAGCCAGAUCUCUGUGGGGAGGGGAGAAAGCGCCGGUGGGUGGCCAAGCUCGGAGUCUGUCCUGUGUGUUCAUCGUCCCCAGUGUGGCUGGCCUGGGGCGGUCUCUCUCCACGCUGGCACUCGUCCGCUGCCUCCUCCUCUGACUGUGCUUGCAGGAGCUGUGUCCAGUGCAGAAUCAGCAGGGCCCUUCUGACAUGCUCCGGGAAGGCUGCUCAGCCCUGCCCGAGCCCACUGUGCUGGGAUGCCGGAUUCCCUCCAGCCUGCGUACUUCCUGGGAUUCGCCAGAAAGCAGACCUGGGCAGGCAGGGCCAGCCCUGGCACCUCUAGGGGGUGGGGCAGCGGCUAGGUUUUGGGUUCUGGGCGCUGAGAACAAUGGGAAGCGAUUCGAUCGCAGGCCCAAGCCACGGCCUCCACACGCCAGCAGGGCUCUGGGGCUGAGGGACAGACACAGGCCCACUCGGAGAGCAGCCUGUGUACAACUGCAUGGGCCCAGUGACCUUCCCGCCCACGCCAGCCGUGGGCUCUGGCGGUGUCUGUUCCCGGUCCGAGCAGGGACCACGGCCCUCUCAUCCACGCGAAAGAGAUCACUUGCCAAAAAGCAUGUGUUUUGCUAGGGAAAGAUGAGCAGCUUUAGUCUCGCGGAAGUGCCAUGCACUCCACCGUCGCCCGGUGCCUCUCGGCCUCAGCUCGGGUCUCCUCCGCCUCUGGCCUGCACCAUCCAGCCCUCCACACCUCCCUGGUCCUGCCAGAGUAUUCCCAAAUUCCAGGUAUUCCCAAAUCUCCUGCUUCUUCUCCCUUUCGUAAGUAGAACAAAUGAACUCUGCUCCUGAGUCACUCUGCUAUGGCUCAAAGCUAACCUGGCAAGCAGGACCCUGAGCAGUGACCAGACAGGCAGUGGGGCUGCGUUCACAGGUCGGUCUCUGCUGUCCUCACCUCCUGCCUGCCUCCCACCCUCACCUGCCUGCUAUGAGGCCUGCAGCUUCUGGCCUAGUCCUCCCACGCAGGCCAGGCUGUCCUCCCUCAGGGACGCCUCCCCAUGUCCUGCAGGAGCCACCAAGCGAGACUCCAUCGUCCUCUUCUGCCUCAGCUCCUGUGCAUCCCCAUCUGUGUGGUUGCCUCUCUGCCUAUGCAGCUGGCGAGGAGGGCCAGCCAUGCUUCCAGGAAACUCAGCCAAGAACCUCCCUGCAGACAGAGUUGCCCGGGCCAGGUCCCUGAUGACAGUCCUGAUCCUUGUCAGGAACAUGGAGACCUCGGUGUCCCAAGCCCCCUGGGUUCAGGACCCGGAGCAGCAGCGGGAGGAGGAGCAGGG
ensembl:lncRNA